UAGGGAAUCUUCCGCAAUGGACGAAAGUCUGACGGAGCAACGCCGCGUGAGUGAAGAAGGAUUUCGGUUCGUAAACCUCUGUUGUUAGGGAAGAAAAAAUGUAUAGUAACUAUAUACAAAAGAGACGGUACCUAACCAGAAAGCCACGGCUAACUACGUGCCAGCAGCCGCGGUAAUACGGAGGUGGCAAGCGUUGUCCGGAAUGAUUGGACGUAAAGCGCGCGCAGGUGGUUAAGAAAGUCUGAUGUGAAAGCCCGCGGCUCAACCCCGGAGGGGCAGUGGAAACUAAUAAACUAGAGUGCAGGAGAGAAAAGUGGAAUUCCUAGUGUAGCGGUGAAAUGCGUAGAGAUUAGGAGGAACACCGGUGGCGAAAGCGGCUUAUUGGCCUGCAACUGACACUGAGGGGCGAAAGCGUGGGGAGCAAACAGG
rnacentral:rRNA from 1 species